UGGUGAUUUGAACAUCAACUCGAAACUCCUUCGGGUUGUAUGGUUAAGUGACUAAGCGUACACGGUGGAUGCCUUGGCAGUCAGAGGCGAUGAAGGA
rnacentral:rRNA from 1 species